rnacentral:lncRNA from 1 species
UUUUUAGGUGUAGAUGGACAGAACACAAUGCCUUUAUUUUUAUGUGGUGCUGAGAAUCGAGCCUGGGUCCUGCUCUGCUAGGCGAGCACUCUACCUCUGAGCCACAAUCCCAGCCCCACUGAUACACGUAUUCUUUUACAUAUAUCUGCAGACUUCUUACCAGUGAAUUGGUAAAGAUAAUACAUUUGAAACUUGGAUGUUUCUUUCCAGUUAGCUUAUGACUAAGUUUCUUACUAUAAAGGAGUUAGACUGUGGGGGCCCUGUGUUAUACCUAAGUGGUUCAUGGCCUAAGAAAGUUGAGAAACUGUGUGCUUUUGAUUCAGAAUUGUAGAGCUGAAGAGACUUGGGGAUGAGUUGGAUAUUGGAAUUAUCUUGGGAAUGUUUUCAUAAAACAAGUAGGCCUGAGCCUUCUCUUCUCCCAUCCCCUGUCUUCUAAAUUAGUAUAUUAGAUGAGCUCCAAUACACGUACAAGUAAUUCCCCUAUCGUGUAAGUUUCAUCAUUCAAAUUGUUUUUUAACAUAGUGACUUAGCAGACCAGUUUUGGAAUAUUAAGUAAUGAUCUGAAACUGACAUGUAGAAAAAAGUACAACCCGCCACUUUCCUUGAGGUUUUAGGUGUUUCACUUAUUUUAAUUAGCUUUUGACACCUAUAAUAUAGCGUGAUAUAAGCAGGAGAAUUUGUUAGGAUUAUUCUUUGUUAUCACCCAUCACCUACAAAGGUUCUUGGCAAAUACUAGAGGUGCAGUAAAUAUUUUUUGUGGUUGCAUGAAUUAUGUAUUAAUGCAUAAUAAAGGUAUUAAGAAUAUAGAAUUGACCCAGUGAUUGUGCUGAUACAGAUAGAAAAAAAUCCUUUGCUUUUGGGCAGAAUUUAGUUAAGUUUCUAGUUUAUGGCUCUAUCUAUACCUUUAAAGCCAUAAAAACAGGACUUUUGAAGGGAGUCGUACUACUUGUGUAUGGCACAGAGUCAUCUUGUAGAGGCAAGUGGAGCCUAAAAUCCAGCCAAGAUAAGCAUUGUCCCUGCGGAGUUGUGUCUACCCAAGGUGAGAGAGAAGUAGCUUUUGUUAACUGGAAAGAUUUGUUCAUUCAUCUUUUAUAUAACAAGUUAGCUGUAAUUCAUAUUGGUUUUUAACAUGGUGACUGAGCACACCAUUUUUACAAUAUUAAGUAAUGACUAUAAUUUGAAUUAUAUGUGAUAUGUUGAUUUUUUUUUUUUUUUUUCCUCUUACUACUCAGGAUUUUCUCAUUAUCUUUGAUCCUCAACAGUUUGACUCCAGAUUGAGGAUCCUUUUUCUGAAAUGCUUGAGAUCAGAAGUGUUUUAAAGUUUGGAUAUUUUUUUGGUUUUUAAUAUUUGCAUAGAAUAUUUGCAUUUUACUGUUCUACCAUCCCUAAUCUGAAAAUCUGAAACCUGCAAAGCUCCAAAAUAUGAAAGUUUCUGAUUGCUCAAAAAUUCUUUUGAACAUUUUUGAUUUUCAGAUUAUGGAUGCUUCGUCUAUAUUGAUUUAUGUUGAUGAAUAUGUGUGCGAUUGUAGUUUUCUUUAUAUUUAUCCUACGUUCUCUGAGCUUUUACGAUCUGUAAAUUUAGGUUUGUCCAACAAAUUUUGGGAAAAUUUGCCUGCUGUUUCUCAAAAUAAAUUUCCUUAUUCUUUCUCUCUUUUGCUUCUUGGACUUUUUAUUUACACAUAUGAGGAUUCUUUCAAUAUCGUCCCACAUUUCUAUAAAUAUUUUCUCUCUGUUCUUUAGAUUGAGUAUUUUCUAUCAAUUUAUCUUCAAGUCCCCUGACUUUUUGUUAUUUUCAUUCAUCUAUUCUAAGCAUAUCCAGUAAAUUUUAUAUUUCAUAUCUUUCAAUUCUUGAGUUUAUUUGGUUCAUUUAUUUUUCUUUGCUGAAAUUCCCCCAGGCAGUUUUUCCCCCUAUUGUAUCUUUCCAUAUGUUUUCAAAACCCUGCUUUUAGAACCUUCUAUACUAACCCCAGUAUCUGUAUCAUUUCAGCAUUGGUUUCCUCUGAUUGUCUUUUGAAACUGAGCUACUUUCUUUAAUAAGUUGUUUUUAAUAAUAUCCUGGAUAUUGUUACUUAUAGAGACUUUGAAUUCUGUUACAUUCUGAGAAGUGGUGACUUUUUAAACAGUUGACUUAGUUGGGCUAAAUUGCAAAUUCUAGUCUCCUGAGCUGGUUCAGUAGUAAUCUGCCUUCUUCAUGUUUUGGUUCAGAGGCAGAUAGAGAUUUGGGGAGAGUUUAUACCAUGCCACUGGAGGCUUCCCUUUUCUGGCUGUCUCCCCUCUGAUUCCUCCUUGCUUUCCAACAAUUGUGGUUACCUCAGACUGUUCUUCAAAUGAGAAUGACUACAGUUUUUCUAUUAGUUUUUGGCUGCCAUACUUGGUACAGACUGCAGCUUGCACUCAAGUUUACAGUCAUAACAUGGAAGAUAACUUCCUCAUGUUCCUUUCUCCUAGGCAUCUACUCCUGUCCACAAUUAGCCUGUUUUUGUUUGUUCUCUGUAGUGCCUUCAGAUUGUAGUGUAUUUUGUGAAGAGUUUAUAGUUGUUAUCUUUGUAAGGUUUGGCACCAGUAGGAACUACAUAGCCAUUUUUAAAUUGAAAGUACAGGUACCCUUUUUAAAAAUUUGCACAAAACAUGCCAAAUAAGCUACAGUGGUCUUGGAAAUCAAAACACCUUUAUUACUUAGAUUCUUAUAAGAAAAUAGUGUUUUGUUAUUAUUACUAUUAUUUGUAUUGUUGGACAUGAACUCAGGACCUCACACAUGCGGCAAGUGCUCUACCAUUGACUACAUCCCCAGCCCCCCAAAUAGUGUAAUUAUUAUUUGUCUGAAUUUUCUUAGUCUCUACAUUCCUUUUUCCCCAUUGAAACUUUCUUUCUUUCUUGAACUCAAGGCCUCAUGCAUGCUAGGCAAGCAGUCUACUACUGAGCUACAUCCUCAGCCCUUAUUUUUGUAAUCUGAUUUGUUAACACAGGUUUAUUAAGAUUGUAAUUCUUGCAUUAUAUUAAAUAGGCUAUUUAAGGAAGGGGAGCAUAUUUCUCCUCUCUGUACUACUACCACCAAAUUUGAUUUUAUAACAUGUUUAAUGUAACUUAUUCUGAGAUUUUUUUUUCAGUUAUCUACCUGAGGUAUAGACUCUAGUAGGAAAAGUUACUCUGAAACUGAGUUCAAACAAUAAUGUUAUGGUUAUGGGCAUAAUAAGGUACUAGAUAGACUGGUGGCUGAUGUGGUUGUUAAGAUUUAAGAUUAUAGUCAUUCCUUGAAGAAAAAUACAAAGAUUUGGGACAUCUUGCCAGCCAAAAAAUAAGACUAAGCUUUGCCCACAAUUGCGUAGUAACUAGUCAAAAGAAAGAGGCUUCAUAUGAACUCAUUAUGUACAGUUAGGCACGUUAAUCAGUUUAACUGUAGCUGUAGAUACAUAAGUGGUAAUAUGCUUUUAGAUUUCAAUGAUAUUUCAUAGAUUAAUAAGUUUGUAAAGAAUUAUGUGUAUAUUGCUAUUAUUAACCUGGAUUCCAUGCUGACCAUUUGACUUAAUGAUUUGUGUACAUCCCCAUAAAUGAUAGUAGCUGUUUUUCACUUACAGUGUCAAAAUUAUUCAUAUGUGUGAAAAGAAGGUAUAACUAGGUGUCAUUAGCCUGGGUUUCUACUUAUAGGUCCACCACUAACUGAUGUUAUCAUUUAGAAUGUUGAAAUGACUUGUCUGACUUUUAGUGUUCUAAUCUUUAAAAAGAAGAAAAUAGACCAGAUAAUAGCUUUUCUAGUCCUCAAAUUAAAAAUCUUUUUCCUAGUUAUUCAGUUACUUUGUUAUUGAACAUAGUCCUUUCUCUGUAUUCUGUAUAUGUAUUAAUUCUAUUUAAUUUUAUUUUUAUACUUUCUUUACCUCACACCAUAAAUCAUUUGAGUUUGUAAUUCCAAUAAAAUGCUUAAAUGGCAGUUUUAUGCGAAUAUAACAUAGCAUUUUGCAGAAAUUGCUAAAAUUUAUUUUAUAGAAAGACAUUUUAGCAUUUAAUGAUGAGUAGGUUUAUUUGGAGCCAAAUAUUUAGUUCUCAAAUGUGCAUAUUUAUCUGAAGUAUUAAUAGAUCACGUUGAGGCAAUUAUUUUAGUUUAGUACCUUAUAUAUCUUAUGGAGUCAGUUUAUUUCUGAAUGAUUAUCAUUGCCUGAGCAUCAGUUACUUCAUUCUUAGUUUAUGUAGAAACAUUGGCUAUUUUAUACUCCCUUUAUGUUGUUUUUCUAUGACUGUUUCCUCAGUUCAUUUUUUAUAAUACUACGGUACCAUUACAUCAUAUAGGUAUUCCUCACUGAGAGCAUUUUUAAUAAAGUUAUAAGACUUCUAUUUUUAAAUUAAUUUGUUCUGUCUUUAUAAUGAAGCCUAUGUGCUCUUUUGUUUGUGGCAUCUUUUUCAGUAAUAUGUGCUAGAUAUACAUUGUUUUGUGGAACUAUUUAGGGAUUUAAAUUUGUUAUUAUUGAUUAUAUCUGUGCUUAUUGAUUAAGAAAAAUUAGGUGUUCAAAUGUCUAAUAUGUGGAAAGAAUAUAUCAUUAUUUUAUACACAAUUUAUCAUUGUUAACAAAGCUUUCUUUGCUCUAUUUUAUAGGUGAUGUUUGCAGACAGAAAAAGUAAACUGUCCAGCAAUCCAAACUAUUGUGUACUUAUUACUUGGACCAACUUGAGGAACGAUUCUUUGAUCAAACUAGUUGGCAAUAGAAAAUGAAAAGUAGUGUGGCACAGAUAAAAGUAAGUGUUUGAAAUUCUUGAUAGAAGAUGCAAACUUAUAGUUAGUUACCUAUCCUUUAAACAACAGUGCAUUUAUAUAACUGGGGCAUUAGAAUGAGAUAGUAGAGUGAUAUUAUACAUGCUUCAAACUCCACACAAUUUUAAAGGUAGCUACUUGGCCAGACGAGAGUAAC